rnacentral:tmRNA from 1 species
GGGGGUGAAUGGUCUCGACUCCGGUCGUCGAGACAGGGGAAGCGGGCCGAGGACCGCAUUGCUGACCUCGAUAAAAAAGCGAUGCACAACAAAAUAAGCGCCGAUUCUCAUCGCGCUGACUUCGCUCUCGCUGCCUAAGCAGUAGAGCAAGUCUGUCGGCCCGGGCUCGUCACCGUCCCGGUCGCCGGCAUCAGCUAGGUGACUCACCGUCCCCGCCGGCCGCGGGAGGGGACGGGACAACUCACAGCGGCUGGGCCUGUCACUGACGUCUGGUGUGCGUGAUCGUCGGGGCCGAGCAGAGGCAGAGCACACUGCGCCCGGAGAAGUCCUGUUGAAGCGGCGGAGGACGCGGGUUCGAUUCCCGCCACCUCCACGA